UUGUGUUGGGGCGCAGCCUGAACAGCCAUCCCGCGUGAAGGAAGAAGGCGCUAUGCGUUGUAAACUUCUUUUCCAGGGGGAGAAUUUUUCCGUCGUGACGGGAAUUGACGGUACUCUGGGAAUAAGCAUCGGCUAACUCCGUGCCAGCGCCGCGGUAAUAGAAUA
rnacentral:rRNA from 1 species